rnacentral:rRNA from 1 species
UACGUAGGGUGCGAGCGUUGUCCGGAAUUAUUGGGCGUAAAGAGCUCGUAGGCGGCUUGUCGCGUCUGCUGUGAAAACCCGAGGCUCAACCUCGGGCCUGCAGUGGGUACGGGCAAGCUAGAGUGCGGUAGGGGAGAUUGGAAUUCCUGGUGUAGCGGUGGAAUGCGCAGAUAUCAGGAGGAACACCGAUGGCGAAGGCAGAUCUCUGGGCCGUAACUGACGCUGAGGAGCGAAAGCAUGGGGAGCGAACAGG